GGGAUCACACAAGCUGUGGAGCAUGUUGUUUAAUUCGAAGCAACGCGAAGAACCUUACCAGGCCUUGACAUGUACGGAUUAGCUCCCUGAAAGGGGAGUGACAGCUCUUCGGAGUCGGAACGUAUACAGGUGUUGCAUGGCUGUCGUCAGCUCGUGCCGUGAGGUGUUGGGUUAAGUCCCGUAACGAGCGAAACCCUUAUCGUUAGUUGCCAGCGGGUUAUGCCGGGGACUCUAGAGAGACUGCCGGUGUCAAACCGGAGGAAGGUGGGGAUGACGUCAAGUCCUCAUGGCCUUUAUGUCUAGGGCUGCACACGUCCUACAAUGGUACGGACAAACGGACGCAAUACCGCGAGUG
rnacentral:rRNA from 1 species